rnacentral:lncRNA from 1 species
CAGGAGAGAGUCCAUGAAAUUGGGGGGAGUCCAAAGAGGGAGUGUUUCUGUCCUUGGAACUCACCUUUUCUUCUCUCCAUUUCUCCUCUUCUCCUUCCCAUCUAGUGCAGCAUCUUCACUCCGAAGCAGAAAUUUGCCAAAAAAGCAUCCUCUUUUUAUCAGAAAAUAAAAUAUCCUGGUUUCUUAGCCUGGCAAUUGAGCUAAUCAGUGGAAUCAAGGGAAACUUUUUUGUUUGAGAUGGAGUCUCCCUCUGUCACCCAGGCUGGAGUGCAGUGGCACAGUCUUGGCUUACUGCAACCUCCACCUCCCGGGUUCAAGUGAUUCACCUGCCUCACCUUCCGGAGUAGCUGGGGUUACAAGCAUUCCUGAGACCACAGGCGUGUGCCACCAUGGCUAGCUAAUUUUUGUAUUUUAUUUUUGUAGAGACAGGGUUUUGCCAUGCUGCCUAGGCUGGUCUCAAACUCCUGGGCUCAAGUGAUCCACCCACCUGCGGUGGCUCACGCCUGUAAUCCCAGCACUUUGGGAGGCCGAGGCGGGCGGAUCACGAGGUCAAGAGAUCAAGACCAUCCUGGCCAACAUGGUGAAACCCCAUGUCUACUAAAAAUACAAAAAUGAGCCAGGUGUGGUGAUAUGUCAGGUCUGCAGUGAAGCUGUCUCGGGCAAAUGGGAAUAUAUGGU